rnacentral:tRNA from 6 species
UGGUCGGGAUAGCUCAGCUG